rnacentral:rRNA from 1 species
AACGAACGCUGGCGGCAUGCCUAACACAUGCAAGUCGAACGAUGCCUUCGGGCAUAGUGGCGCACGGGUGCGUAACGCGUGGGAAUCUGCCUUUCGGUUCGGAAUAACUCAGGGAAACUUUAGCUAAUACCGGAUAACGUCGCAAGAUCAAAGAUUUAUCACCGAAAGAUGUGCCCGCGUAGGAUUAGCUAGUUGGUGAGGUAAAGGCUCACCAAGGCGACGAUCCUUAGCUGGUCUGAGAGGAUGAUCAGCCACACUGGGACUGAGACACGGCCCAGACUCCUACGGGAGGCAGCAGUGGGGAAUAUUGGACAAUGGGUGAAAGCCUGAUCCAGCAAUGCCGCGUGAGUGAUGAAGGCCUUAGGGUUGUAAAGCUCUUUUACCCGGGAAGAUAAUGACGGUACCGGGAGAAUAAGCCCCGGCUAACUCCGUG